GACGAACGCUGACGGCGUGCUUAACACAUGCAAGUCGAACGAAGUGGCGAACGGGUGAGUAACGCGUAAUCAACCUGCCCUUCAGAGGGGGACAACAGGUGGAAACGACUGCUAAUACCGCAUACUGAAGGAGGGGAUUGUGUCUGAUUAGCUAGUUGGAGGGGUAACGGCCCACCAAGGCGCAGAUAAGUAGCAGGUCUGAUAGGAUGAACGGCAACAUUGGGAUUGAGACCCGGCACAGACUCGUACGGGGGGCAGCCGUGGGGAAGUUUCCGCAAUGGACGCAAGUCUGACGGAGCAACGCCGCGUUAGUGAUGACGGCCGUCGGGUUGGAAAGCUCUGUUAAUCGGGACGCGGUACCGGAAUAGAAAGCCACGGCUAACUACGUGCCAGCAGCCGCGGUAAUAC
rnacentral:rRNA from 1 species